CCUGCCUCCAGGUUCCUGCGCUGUUUGAGUUCCUGUCCUGACUUCCUUCAGUGAUGAACAGCUUCUGAGAGUUCCAGUCUCUUCAUCUACAUGCUUACGGAUGGAGGAGACCAGGUAACUGCUGAAUGGAUGAGGAAGGCAGAGGAACUUGCUUCAAUGCAGUCAUCGCCUGUACCAGCAUCACAGAGGCCAAGAACAGAGAGUGUUCCUGUUGUAAGGACAUUUGUGACAGCGUUGAAAACCACCAGGGAAAUCUCUUCAUCUUAAGAUCCUUAAUCCAUCUCUCAGGACGGCCCUGUCUCCAGAUGAAGUUACACCAGCAGUUUCCAGAGAGUAGCUCAUGGCUGGGGUAUUUUUCAACCUCUGUGCCAUUACAGAGAUGGAAAGCAACAAGUCAAGCUUUAUAGAGAGCAGGAGCAGAGGGAGGGCUGUAUGGAUACAAGGAUCUGAAUGCAACCCAUAGCUCCCUCCAGUCCAUAUCGCCGUACCCCAGACAAAAGCAGACCAAGACAUGGACCCUAAGAGGAGACACCAGUAACCCCAAGAGGAGACAUCAGUGACCCCAAGAGGCGACGCCAGCAACAGCAGCUUGGCAAGGACCCUGGGGCAGGCAACCUCGUUAUCAAGUUCAUUUGAAUAUUAGAUCAGAGACUCAUACUGUGGCCAUGCAAAUUCUCAGAAACUAGGAAUCCAGUCUGAGCCCCAUUGGCAGGACAAUUGAACUUACUUUGGAAAAUGUCUCGGAUGCAGCCUGGCGGGCUGCAACAGUAGUGAGAAUUCCAGCGGGCAGGCCGAGGCGGGAGCCUGUGUUUAUUCUCUUCAGGAAUGAAGGGCUUUGCUCGGUCUUGUUCACAGAGAUACUGUGAGGAACCAACCAAGGUAAGGAUGGCUACCUUCUGGUGGGAAGGGGUAGGCCUAGGCAUGGGAGGGAGACAGGGCUAGGACUCUGACUUGUGUGUAUUUUAGGAAGUAGACACUUGAGCAAACACAGGACUGGGUAGAAUGAUCAACUACCUCCUAUUUGGAAAAGGCUGCAGGUUCUAAGUUCUGAGGAAGGCCGUCUACCCAAGCAGAGAACGUAGUCACCUGUCUUCCACAUCCACUUUGAUGAAUGAUGGUAGUGUCGAACGCAAGGCCAAGGCCACAGCCACAGCUCUGCUCCUCCAGGAAAAGGAAAGGGCUUAUGUGUGCAAAUCUCACCCAAACAGGCAAUAUGAAAGGAGAUUCCUUUACUGGACGGUGAACUCAGCUGGCUGAAGAUUUAUUGGGAAGAACAGAGGCUUAGCAGGAAUAGAACAUCCUUGCCUUACCUCAGCCUGGGCCUGUACCAUGCACUUGUUCCAUGCAGUGGGAAACCUAACCACCUUGGGUCCUGUUCCUACAUCAGUUCUUCAGUGUUGCUCUUGUUCCUGGGGUCCAUCAUGUGCUGGCUCCUCUCAUCUUCUGUCUGCUUCUCACACUCGUCCUUCAGUUCCAGUAUGUGCUGUAUCACGUGUUUCUUACUUAAAGCAUCCAGAGAGUUUUCUGCCCUUCCUACUUGGAGGUCAAGUGACAUCCUUGGCGGAGUCGUAAAUACAAUCCUUACAUAUGUGACUUAUUUAAGGUGGCUUCAUAUGAGAACAAAAAUGGGCAAAGGAAGCUGGGCGGUGGUGGCACAUGCCUUUAAUCCCAGCACUCGGGA